rnacentral:lncRNA from 1 species
GGGGAAUUGGACUCCUGGAGGGGGGUUUGGGGACCCCAAAGGGAGUUUUUGGGGUCAUGGGGGGGGUUUUGGGGACCUCAAUGGGGGUUUUUGGGGGUCCUGGGGGGGGUUUUGGGGACCCCGGCAGCCACCAGCGCUCAGCCCAGACUCCUGUUCCUGCUGAACUGAGCCAGUUUAACCAAAGCAACUGCAAAUCAGCUCAGUAGGCACAGGAGGCAGCGCCCGGGGGGGGCCCCGUGGCCUUGGGGGGGGGAUCCCGGUGUCCUGGGGGGGGGAUCCCGGUGUCCUGGGGGGGGAUCCCGGUGUCCGGGGAGCGGAACUUAGCCACUGUGAACACGACCCGAUGCCAACGCUGUUCACAUGUGGGCUAAGCCCUACCCCACGGCGCCGGCUGCGGCGUGUCCCGGUGUUCCCGGUGUUCCCGGUGUGUCCCGGUGUGUCCCGGUGUUCCCGGCGGUGGCGGGUGCUGGCGCCCGUUGGAAAUCCCUGGCAAUGUGAUUUUGGGCAGAAACGGUAAAAAAUCGCAUCGCCAGGAACCCCGGUGAGCGGCAGCGGGGGGGGAGCGGGGGGGUACCGGGACCCCCCCACACACAGACCGGUGGCGGUGGUGGGUCAGGCUGGGUCAGUGCUCACAGGGGCUGUGGGGCACGGACACACAUGGACACACAUGGACACACAUGGACAUACAUGGACAUAGGGGUACAUGGGGGCAGACGGACACACAUGGACACACAUGGACAUAGGGACACACAUGGACAUAGGGACACACAUGGACAUACAUGGACAUAGGGAUACAUGGGGACACGGACACACAUGGACACACAUGGACACACAUAGACAUAGGGAUACACAUGGACAUAGGGAUACAUGGACAUACAUGGACAUAGGGACACACAUGGACAUAGGGACACACAUGGACAUACAUGGACAUAGGGGUACAUGGGGGCAGACAAGACAGAUACCCCUGGACAUAGGGACAUGGACACAUGGACACACACAUGGACACAUGCAGACACACAUGGACACAGGCACACACGUGGACACAUACACAGACACGGGCACACACAGAUGGACACACACGGACACGCAUGGACACAGGCACACA